UCUAUGUUUUCCUUUGAAUAUUUGUUAAGACUAAAAUCUAUGUUUUCCUUUGAAUAUGUGUCUGUGAAGAUGGCAAUGAAACUGAACUCUAAACAAAUGCAGUAUGUUAGACAGGGGUGGGGGCAGCCUCGUGAAUGAAGCGUCUGUCUCCGCAGACAUGAAACUACCGCCUCGUGUCUUGCUGAAGUCGACACAACACUGUUUCCCUGGAGGAGAGGAUGAGUGCGUUGAAAAGUAAAGCCGCGGGCCCAGUGUGGACGAGUCGAGGCGGAGAAGAGGGGCGCACAAUCCCAACAUUAUGGUAAGAGCUAAACUACAGAGAGAAGCCAUUGCUAACUGCUAAGUAACUCUUAGAUCUGAAUAGCGUGUUAACAACUGUGGGAUUAGCAAGAAAGUUGCUAAAAGAAGAAGAGAGCAUCAAGUGCUUGAGCAGAACUAGUGCAUGUUUAAAUAUGUACGAACUGCUUAAACUUAAGAGUUUGUUCUCGUUAAGUUUUUCAUCAUAAACGUAACUUUUUGUCCGGUUGUAUUUUAUAGGAAACAGCCCGUCUCUUCACACCUCUGAGGCAAAUGGCCGGCGCCACGAACCGGAGCGAGGCCUGAGCCCCCACAACGAGGCAGUCACUGCACAUUAGGCCGAGACUUAGUCCGGAUUUUCAGUGUGGAAAAUGACGCCAUUGUAUCUGCCUGUACUAUGCCGUACUAAGACGUUCUAUGAGCCAG